GAACGGCCGGAUACAGGAGACGGGAAGAAACAAGCCGAUUAUGUUCGCGUUAAUUAGGUGGUUGGAAGAUGUAAAAUUCUCAAUUCUGCCAACUGAACAUAUACGAGAUUUUAAUGAGGAUGAAUAAUCAGUCGGCAUGGAGGAAACGGACCUUUAUUUGGUGGAGUGGCGACAAGAAGCCAAAAGACGGGUGGCCGGUCUAUGAAGCCUCCAUCAUCAAGCUAGCAGAAAUCCCACCUGUCCUUCUGGCUACAGAGCACUUACUUACCAAGCCCAUGAAAUCGAAUGCAGAUCUUCCUGAUGUGAGAUUUACAUAAAUAUGUCAAAGUCUCAACCUCAUGCUGCCCUCCCCA